rnacentral:rRNA from 1 species
GACGAACGCUGGCGGCGUGCUUAACACAUGCAAGUCGAACGGUGAAAGCGGAGCUUGCUCCGCUGGAUCAGUGGCGAACGGGUGAGUAACACGUGGGCAACCUGCCCCUCACUUCGGGAUAACUCCGGGAAACCGGGGCUAAUACCGGAUAUGACCUCCUUGGGCAUCCUUGGAGGUGGAAAGUUUUUCGGUGAGGGAUGGGCCCGCGGCCUAUCAGCUUGUUGGUGAGGUAGUGGCUCACCAAGGCGACGACGGGUAGCCGGCCUGAGAGGGCGACCGGCCACACUGGGACUGAGACACGGUCCAGACUCCGACGGGAGGCAGCAGUGGGGAAUAUUGCGCAAUGGGCGAAAGCCUGACGCAGCAACGCCGCGUGCGGGAUGACGGCCUUCGGGUUGUAAACCGCUUUCAGCAGGGAAGAAGCCGCAAGGUGACGGUACCUGCAGAAGAAGCACCGGCUAACUACGUGCCAGCAGCCGCGGUAA